AGCGGCGGACGGGUGAGUAAUGCUUAGGAAUCUGCCAUUUAGUGGGGGACAACAUUCCGAAAGGAAUGCUAAUACCGCAUACGUCCUACGGGAGAAAGCAGGGGAUCUUCGGACCUUGCGCUAAAUGAUGAGCCUAAGUCGGAUUAGCUAGUUGGUGGGGUAAAGGCCUACCAAGGCGACGAUCUGUAGCGGGUCUGAGAGGAUGAUCCGCCACACUGGGACUGAGACACGGCCCAGACUCCUACGGGAGGCAGCAGCGGGGAAUAUUGGACAAUGGGCGGAAGCCUGAUCCAGCCAUGCCGCGUGUGUGAAGAAGGCCUUUUGGUUGUAAAGCACUUUAAGCGAGGAGGAGGCUACCUAGAUUAAUACUCUGGGAUAGUGGACGUUACUCGCAGAAUAAGCACCGGCUAACUCUGUGCCAGCAGCCGCGGUAAUACAGAGGGUGCGAGCGUUAAUCGGAUUUACUGGGCGUAAAGCGUGCGUAGGCGGCUUUUUAAGUCGGAUGUGAAAUCCCCGAGCUUAACUUGGGAAUUGCAUUCGAUACUGGGAAGCUAGAGUAUGGGAGAGGAUGGUAGAAUUCCAGGUGUAGCGGUGAAAUGCGUAGAGAUCUGGAGGAAUACCGAUGGCGAAGGCAGCCAUCUGGCCUAAUACUGACGCUGAGGUACGAAAGCAUGGGGAGCAAACAGGAUUAGAUACCCUGGUAGUCCAUGCCGUAAACGAUGUCUACUAGC
rnacentral:rRNA from 1 species